rnacentral:rRNA from 1 species
AGUGAACGCUGGCGGUAGGCCUAACACAUGCAAGUCGAACGGCAGCACAGUAAGAGCUUGCUCUUACGGGUGGCGAGUGGCGGACGGGUGAGGAAUACAUCGGAAUCUACUUUUUCGUGGGGGAUAACGUAGGGAAACUUACGCUAAUACCGCAUACGACCUACAGGUGAAAGCAGGGGAUCUUCGGACCUUGCGCGAUUGAAUGAGCCGAUGUCGGAUUAGCUAGUUGGCGGGGUAAAGGCCCACCAAGGCGACGAUCCGUAGCUGGUCUGAGAGGAUGAUCAGCCACACUGGAACUGAGACACGGUCCAGACUCCUACGGGAGGCAGCAGUGGGGAAUAUUGGACAAUGGGCGCAAGCCUGAUCCAGCCAUACCGCGUGGGUGAAGAAGGCCUUCGGGUUGUAAGGCCCUUUUGUUGGGAAAGAAAAGCAGCAGGUUAAUACCCCGCUGUUCUGACGGUACCCAAAGAAUAAGCACCGGCUAACUUCGUG